GACGAACCGUGCGAACGUUAUUCGGAAUCACUGGGCUUAAAGCGCGUGUAGGCGGGACGGCACGUCGGUCGCUGAAAUCCCCCGGCUUAACCGGGGAACGGGCGUCGAUACGACCGUCCUGGAGGGGCGUAGGGGGACCUGGAACUUCCGGUGGAGCGGUGAAAUGCGUUGAGAUCGGAAGGAACGCCCGUGGCGAAAGCGAGGUCCUGGACGUCUACUGACGCUGAGACGCGAAAGCUAGGGGAGCAAACGGG
rnacentral:rRNA from 1 species